rnacentral:rRNA from 1 species
GUGCGCAGCCGCGGUAAUACCGGCAGCCCGAGUGAUGGCCGAUCUUAUUGGGCCUAAAGCGUCCGUAGCUGGCUGCGCAAGUCCGUCGGGAAAUCCACUCGCCCAACGAGUGGGCGUCCGACGGAAACUGCACAGCUUGGGACCGGAAGGCUCGAAGGGUACGUUCGGGGUAGGAGUGAAAUCCCAUAAUCCCGCACGGACCACCGAUGGCGAAAGCACUUCGAGAAGACGGCUUCGACAGUGAGGGACGAAAGCUCGGGUCUCAAACCGGAUUAGAAACCCCUGUAGUCC